GUGUGCAAGCGUUAUCCGGAAUUAUUGGGCGUAAAAGCGCGCGCAGGUGGUUUCUUAAGUCUGAUGUGAAAGCCCACGGCUCAACCGUGGAGGGUCAUUGGAAACUGGGAGACUUGAGUGCAGAAGAGGAAAGUGGAAUUUCCAUGUGUAGCGGUGAAAUGCGUAGAGAUAUGGAGGAACACCAGUGGCGAAGGCGACUUUCUGGUCUGUAACUGACACUGAGGCGCGAAUCUGUAACUGACACUGAGGCGCGAAAGCGUGGGGAGCAAACAGGAUUAGAUACCCUGGUAGUCC
rnacentral:rRNA from 1 species